rnacentral:lncRNA from 1 species
GAAGGAGAAGACACGGGAUUGGGGGGAAAUGAAGGAAAUUUUGUGAAAAACAUGUUCAUUUGAGCAACAUCUAUGGCAUGUAAUUAACAAUUAAAGGCGGAAUCAUGCUUGUAUGCACUCAAAAACAAAACAUUACCCAUGAAAUUCAAAGCCUAGUAGAAAGGUGAACUAAGACUCAACUCAAGAACAAAGUGAGUUGAGAGAUUUUAUACCUUUGUUGAUUCCUCUUUGCAUAAGCAAAGGCUAAUCACCCAAGGAGAGGGCCUUCAUUCCUUGCUUCUUAGAUCCAUGGAUUUCUUGGAUGAGGAUGGUUGAAAGGAUUCUCCAAGUUCCCAAAAUUGAGAACCUCUAAUUUUUCCACACCAAGGAAGGACUUGAAGAAGAGAUGAGUGACCUAGAGGAAGUAAGAUUGCUAGCUAAAAUCCUCUAGGGUGGCCGGCCUCUUAGAGAGAAAGGGAGAGACAUUGUGUUCUCAUCUUUUCUCUAAAAGAAACCCUAAGGAUGAAAUGGCUAUAAAGUUGCCUUUAUACCACCUCACAAUAGAGUGGCAAACUUGCAAUUAAAGCAAGUUCACUACCCUUCUCUAUUUGGCCGGCCUUAAGGGUUUAUUGGGCUUUCAAGCCCUUUGUUUAUUCAAGUUGUCAUAUAAGUUGAGUUAAUGGGCUUGACAUUCAAAUCCCAUUGGGCCUUGCGGCCCAAAACUAACCCGAGGUCUUUAACGAACUUUAUUCAUUUGAUUAAUUAACAUAUUCAUUAAUCCUUGCCAUAAAUAAUUAAACCAUUUAAUUAUCCUUACUCAUCUCUGUUGUUUCUUCAAUCUCUACCUUACACGGUGUACGAUCCAUUAGGUUCCUUUUAGCGAGGCAGUGGCAAUUAGAACUCUUUCAAAUCGAUUGUGAAUUGAAACUUACUUUCAAUUCUCCCUUUAGUGAUUAUACACGUUUAGGGCUUCCACAAACCAUGAGUGACACCUAGCAGUAUGUCAUGGUUACCCAAACUAAUCAGAAGAGGUGGAGAACCUAUUCAAUUUAGGAUUACAAUGCAAUACGGUCUUUCUCUAAUACAAUACUCUUGACCACAUUGUUUGGUUUAAUAGUUUAUUCAUGUCUACUAUCCAAUGUGAUUCUCUUACUUAUAUGAUUACCUUGAAUGUGAUUUGGAAUGACUUCCUAAAUCUUAUUCAUACUCUGGCCAGAGAUUUUUAAUCAUAUCAUAGAGUAUUCUCCCUCAAACGGUUUAAAGGUUAGAGAUCCCUUGUUGCACAUUCACUUGCCUCCAUGGCUAAGUGGCUUAACCCCAACUAUGUCGUGGACACCUCUGAUAGAGUGACUUUGACAUAGUCAAAGAUCAAGGACUUAACCACAAGACAACUAUGAUGCCUCAGGUCAAAGGACUACUUUGCAUUAUCCCAAUCAUGAGUUCUCAUGUGACAUGAGUAUGAGAACUCCUCGUUGAUCGUGUUCAGUGGACUCAUUCUCUAUUGAGCACCUACAUGCUUGUCUUGGUGUCAAUCACACCAAUGACUUGAGACUAGUCACUCUCCAUGUGAGAAGACACAGCACGUACUGAUCUUAACGGAUUGUCAAUGCCCAAUUGGCAACCCUAUGAUCAGGAACGUUUAGGAUAUGUAUACGAAAGAGAAUGGUCUCAUGAAUCUAACUUCUUUAAAUUACAUUCUCCUAAUUACAUAUUCCUUGGACUUAUCGUUUAAUCAUAUAACAUUUAUAUGAGACAGCUUAAAAAGAAUAAUCUUUGCCCUCUAUAUUAAACUAGAUUAGUUUAACAUAUGAAAUGUCCGUAAAGUAUCAUCAUAUGAUUGGUUUUAGGGCACAUUUCCAACAAUCUCCCACUUGCACUAGAGUCAAUCAGCUUGGUCAUCAAUGAUGAUACCUCUUCUGUAGUCAUUUCAAAAAUGGGUGAGUAGUAGGCCUAGACAAUGGAUAUCUAUAUGUUAUCCAUAGAAGCAACCUUGAGAAUAACGACGUCACCAUUAUACAUGAUUCUCAAUCAUGUGGUUCAGUCUUUCAUUUAAGUUCGGAUCUUGAUGAGACCGUGAUUCCCUGGCUUGAGCUAUCGCCCUAUUAGUGUCGUAGUGUCGGUACACUAGAGACACUUUCUGGUUGGAACCGAAUAAAGAGUUCAUAAAUGAACUUUCCCAUCCAAACAACAUUGUUGUAAGCUUCUAUAUGGCAAUAUAUUUUGUAUUCAUAAUGGAACACACUAAAGUCAUUACUUUUAAUGUUUCCAUCCAAAUAUCUCUUUAGUCAUAAUAAAGAGAUAUCUGAUUAUCUUUUCAUUGAUAAUGAAGAAACAUCCAAUAAUGGAUUAGAUUCAUAAUCUAAUACAUUUACGCUUCCAUUACGUUACUCUAAUUCUUCCUCAUUCUUGAGGAAUCCAUCCUUUAUUAUUUCUCAAAUACUGAAGGAUUCAUUUGACAGUUGCCAUGGUUCUGAUCCUGGGCUUGCAUUGAUAUCGUCUUGUACCGAUCUUGGUACAACUCAUAUCAACGUUUUUCAUACAAUAUGAAAUACGUAAAUCACCUUUCUGCAUAUACAUAAAGGAUUCUAUUUACACAUUAUUUCUUUGGGAGUCAAAGGGUACGUUCCCUUUGAGAAGAGUUACCUCCUAGUCUUACUAGAGUUGUUCUUCUGAUUGAAGUUUAUCAUCAUAUGAGAAAAUUCCUAGCAACUUUUGUCUAUCAUUAUGGCUUGAUACAAUCCAAUUAUAUCCUGAAAUCUAUCAUUAUAGAUUUCCAUCCCAUGUUUAUAGACUAUGUCUCCCAUAUACAUUCUAUCGUUAUAGAAUGUUUAAAGUCAUAACUUUAACGAAGAAGUAUUAUUUUCAUAUCCAAAAUUAAUAUAUCAUAUAUGUGUAUAUAUAUAUUCAAAUUUAGGAACAUGAUUAACUCCCACUAAUCUUUUGUAAACCUAGUAAACAAAAGAUUCAUUUACAUCUUUAUGAGAAAUCAAUUGAUUUGAUCUUUCUCUCAUAAGACGCUUAUAGCUUUCAGUAGCUUGUUAAGAUCCAUGAUGGAAGGAUCUCUACAACUUACAUGUCUUGUGAUUCAUAGUUUUAGACAUAUAUUAUCAAGACUAUCUUAAUAAUGGUUUCGGAAAACCAUAUUAUGUCCAAACAUUGAAUCACCAUUUAGUUGUAGCUAGCAAUCUUCGAAUUAAUUGAAACCAAGAUUACGUCAAAGAUGGUUUCUUCCAAGUCAACCAUUCUCGUCAAAUAUCACCUCUAGGGCAUUUUCGUCAAUUCACGCUUUUAAAAUUUAUAAAAACGUAAAAUUAGGGACGGGUUGUCACAUACUACCCACCUAAAUUUGUGUUCCAACUUUGAUACACAUGACCAACAAUUUAAAUUUGAGAUGUACAAACUAUAUAGAUUUAUAUCUCAUUAAAAAAAAAAAAAAAAAAAACCGAAAAGUGAGCUAUACUUUUGAGAGUCAAAUAUAAGGCCUUUACCAGCAUUGGAUAAAAAAAAGUAUCAUAAGACUAAGAUUAUAUUUAUAUAUAUAGGAAGUCUUUAAAUGAAGGGAUUUAUUUUAUUUUAUUUUUAUAAAAAUAGGGAUUAGUUGUUGGGCCCACACUAUAUUGAAUUUUGACGAUCCUCACCGUUUAUUUUUCAAGUUUCACCUCAUAGAUCGUCCUUACAAAAUAUUAACCAAAUCGGAAAUAUAUGAGGAUCUUUUUUUUUUUUUUGAACAAAUGAUAUUAUGUAUACUAAGGAGAAGGGGGUGGGCUAAGCUGCACAAUGAAUUAGCAAUAAUGCAGUUCAAGACAUCUAAUUGAGUACAAAUAAAUUGACAAAGAUUUAGUUAUCUAAGAAACACUGAAAUUUCAUCAUGAUAAUUAAAUAGGCAAAUGAUUUUGGAUUAAAUUGAAUUUUUGGAAGGAUGAUCUAUGAAUUGAGACCUACAAAAUAAACGGUUAAGAUCAUUGAAACUCGACGCGGAGUGAGCCCUACAACUAGUCCCUAUUUUGACCUAAAAAUGAGAAUUCCUUUAAAUAAAGGGAACUUUAACGAAAAACUCCCGAAAAAACCACAUUUUUACACUAAAGAGUCAAUCCUGGUACUAGUCACUUUACCCUUUAUUUUGUUCUUAACGUUAAAACUCAUAGUUUUCAAGCCCUUUUCAUUAGUUUUUCUUUAAAUAAAGGGCCGUGUAUGUGUGUGUGUGUGUGUGAGAGAGAGACUGCACUACAGGUAUGCAUGCUCGUAUGAGAACAUGUCUGAAAAAAUAUGAAUAGAUGUAUUACUUGUAAUUAAUACUUGUCACAUUUAUGUAAAAUUAUAUGAAAUAGAAAAAUACAAGAAAUCUAGAGACAGCGCUACAAGAUCAUGGACCAGAAUAAUUACUACAGGUAAAACCUCACAUUAACUGCAGUAAACCCUUCAUAAAAAAGGAAUAAAAAAAUGGUAAAACUACGCACCAACAAAGAUAUAAUAAAAUAUCACUAUUGUUGUUAUGCUUGUAAGGCCCUGCAUAUCGCUCGAUGAGUGAUAAACAUGAAACCAGUUCAUAAAUCUACAAAGCAAAUGAUAUAAGAAUGAUAAUAAGAGAGAUUAAAUUCUUAAACCAAAUUUACAAAUUAAAUGAUAUGUUACCAAUAAAAGAUAAACACAUUAACCGACACAAUUAAUAUCUAAUCAUCUAUAAUCACAUUAUUUGAUUUAAGAAAUUUGGUCUUCCUAUCAUUACUUUAAUAAGAAACACUAAGAAAACUGGCCAGCUUUCCAGAAAUAAAACCCCACUUAUGCAAAAAUUUUGUUUUUAUUAAAUUAUAGAUUUGAACUCAAAACGCAGUAAGUUAACUUCUUAACA